GAUGAACGCUAGCGGCAGGCUUAACACAUGCAAGUCGUGGGGCAGCGCGGACUUCGGUCUGGCGGCGACCGGCAAACGGGUGCGGAACACGUACGCAACCUCCCUCAGAGCGGGAAUAGCCUCUCGAAAGAGAGAUUAAUACCCCAUAGUAUCUUGAAGACACAUGUCUAUGAGAUUAAAGCUUCGGCACUUUGAGAUGGGCGUGCGGCUGAUUAGGUAGUUGGUAGGUAACGGCCUACCAAGCCGACGAUCAGUAGCUGAUGUGAGAGCAUGAUCAGCCACACGGGCACUGAGACACGGGCCCGAUCCUACGGGAGGCAGCAGUGAGGAAUAUUGGUCAAUGGAGGAAACUCUGAACCAGCCAUGCCGCGUGGAGGAUGAAGGUCCUCUGGAUU
rnacentral:rRNA from 1 species